GACGAACGCUGGCGGCGUGCUUAACACAUGCAAGUCGAACGGAAAGGCCCUGCUUUUGUGGGGUGCUCGAGUGGCGAACGGGUGAGUAACACGUGAGUAACCUGCCCUUGACUUUGGGAUAACUUCAGGAAACUGGGGCUAAUACCGGAUAGGAGCUCCUGCUGCAUGGUGGGGGUUGGAAAGUUUCGGCGGUUGGGGAUGGACUCGCGGCUUAUCAGCUUGUUGGUGGGGUAGUGGCUUACCAAGGCUUUGACGGGUAGCCGGCCUGAGAGGGUGACCGGCCACAUUGGGACUGGGAUACGGCCCAGCCUCCUACGGGAGGCAGCAGUGGGGAAUAUUGCACAAUGGGCGGAGGCCUGAUGCAGCAACGCCGCGUGCGGGAUGACGGCCUUCGGGUUGUAAACCGCUUUCGCCUGUGACGAAGCGUGAGUGACGGUAAGGGGUAAAGAAGCACCGGCUAACUACGUG
rnacentral:rRNA from 1 species